AACGAACGCUGGCGGCGUGCCUAACACAUGCAAGUCGAACGAGAAAGGGGCUUCGGUCCUGAGUAAAGUGGCGCACGGGUGAGUAACACGUGGGUAACCUGCCUCUAAGAUUGGGAUAACCCGUCGAAAGACGAGCUAAUACCGAAUAAGACCACAGUCUCCGCGGAGACGGGGGCCAAAGGUAGCCUCUACAUGUAAGCUAUCACUUAGAGAUGGGCCUGCGCACCAUUAGCUAGUUGGUGGGGUAACGGCCUACCAAGGCAAAGAUGGUUAGCUGGUCUGAGAGGAUGAUCAGCCACACUGGAACUGAGACACGGUCCAGACUCCUACGGGAGGCAGCAGUGGGGAAUAUUGCGCAAUGGGCGAAAGCCUGACGCAGCAACGCCGCGUGAGUGAUGAAGGCCUUCGGGUCGUAAAGCUCUGUCGGAGGGAACGAAUGCUCCUGAGGUUAACAGCCUCGGGAAGUGACGGUACCCUCAAAGGAAGCACCGGCUAACUCUGUGC
rnacentral:rRNA from 1 species